UAGGGGAUGGAUGGAUGAUUACCUAAUGAGUUAAUUGGCUUGUUAAUUAUGGACCUUGCUUAAUGUCUGAUUACUGUGGUAUUUUAAUGGAAAUACAAUUUCUACUUUAUUAUUGGUAGAUUACAUCAUUACCAACUUGGAAGAAAGGAAAAAUAACGAACGACUUUCUAUUAAAACCGCGGAGGCUUUGUCCCACAUCGAAGAAUUGUGUAUUUGACGAGUUCUUUAUACACUUUCGCUAAAGACUUAUUACUGUCCCUUCGGGGACAUCCGAUAAAAUUGGAACGAUACAGAGAAGAUUAGCAUGGCCCCUGCGCAAGGAUGACACGCAUAAAUCGAGAAAUGUUGCAGAGGCUUGAGAAGCUAUGAGCAUUUUGCAUUUGAAGUCCAAAUUUUUUUUGCCCUUUUUCUGCCAAAUUUCGAAUUUGCAGAGGCUUGAGAAGCUAUGAGCAUUUUGCAUUUGAAGUCUUCCAUGGUUCGGUGUCUUAGUCUUUGAUCUUCCAGAUGGAAGGGUCGUUUUAGUCAGAGCAAUGCUUAGAUAAGCAAGGAGGUUGGAGGGCAGAUUAGUAUACUAUUUUUGAUGGGUCGGUGACGAUUACCUAUUUGGAGUUGCAGAAUGGGAGUUUGAUUGUGCAGAAGUGGAGAUUUGGGAGCUGGCUUGAUGGGUUGAUUAACGGUGAGGCUUACACUCGAAGGGCCUGAACCUGGCUCACUGUUGUCAAGCUAACACAUUCGGAUAUUCCCGAGGAAGACAGGCUCCUUGAGCUCUCAAAGCUUGCACUCAUGAAUCUUUCGAAAGUCCAUACUGUCUGUUACUUCGAAAACCAUGAAGCUGAUGGAUCGUUCGAAGUGAUUGUCGGAGUUGCUUCAGUUUGAGAGCUAAAAGGUAGUGAAAGCCAUACCUUAGAAAUGAAUGGCUACAUGUACUGAUAAUAAUAUAAAGAGGCUGAAUUAAGAUUUUGUCUGCUACAGUUCAUAGGGGAUGGAUGGAUGUAUGAUUACCUAAUGGGUUAAUUGGCUUGUUAAUUUAUGGACCUUGCUUAAUGUCUGAUUACUGUGGUAUUAUAAUGGAAAUACAAUUUCUACUUUAUUUUUGAUAGAUU